UAUGCAGGAAGCGUAGAGUUGAAUGGAGUUUGGAUCUUCUAGAACUAUGCAAUAUGCAUUUCUCAAUGAAGAACUUAAGACUGCCAAGUGGACUUCUAUGAAAUGCAAUGGAGAGUUUUACUAUCCCUCGUAAGUUUUCAGUUUACUAGGCACUUUUGGACUUUCCAAAACUUAGUGAUGGCACUGAAGCAAUCAAGUCAUGUUCUCUGACACUCUCAAAGCUUCAUUUCUUGUUUAUGAGUUAAGGUAUGUUUUCGACACAUGACCAUGAUUGAUAGCAUGUACAUAUAUAUAUAUGAUCGGUCCACAUUAGUUUUGUUUUGUUUCAUAAGUGCAGGACAAGUCGUAAACCUCAAAACCAGAGAACUUUGUAUGCAUUGAUGCAUACACACAUCCAUAAAUGCAUACAUAGAUACAUGUAUUCAUUCAUGCAUACAUACAUAC